CGCCAUCAUCAGCAGCAGAAGUGAGGUACAACACGGCACACACCACGACAAGGAGUAUUGUUGAAAGGACAAUAGGCCAGCUGAAGCGCAGGUUCCACUGCCUGCACGCCGAGCUGCGCAUGGAGCCAAGCAGAUGCUGCGACAUCAUCGUGGCAUGCUGCGUGCUCCACAAUCUCGCCAAGAGAUACCCCUGCGCGAUGCCAGGGACUGCCAUCCCGCCUGAGGUUCCUGUGGAGCCCAUGGCAGCCGGCCGUGGAGAAAGCAACGAGGCCCGGCGUGCCCUUGUCGACCAGUUCUUCUGUUGAGCGAGGUUCUCCGCCUCCAUCUGCUGCUGGUCCUCAGCUUGCUGCUGAUACCUCUGCGCAGCUUCCCGGCACCAACGUCUCGUCUGCAAGACACGGGGAGCUGCUGCCCACUCUUCUGCUGCUGCCACCCUUUGGCCGCUUCCUGACGCCCGAGGCUGCGGCGCUGCCGUUUGCCUCAAGCUAUCGCUGUGACAAAUGGAUAUGCAGGAAGUGAUUUGCUGUAGUUAUUAGGAGCGUGCAGGCAACAUACGUAUAACAUACAGUGUUUGUAACCCCGACAUGUUGCUGGAAUUUUGCCACAGUGUACUUAACUGUAGAACAGAAACUCUCUGAUGCUUCAAGCAUCUCCGAGUGGACC